UUCCGGUUGAUCCUGCCGGAGGCUACCGCUAUUGGAGUUCGAUUAAGCCAUGCGAGUCGCGAGUCUUCAAGGACUCGGCGUACCGCUCAGUAACACGUGGGUAACCUGCCCUAUGCUGGGGGAUAACCUCGGGAAACUGAGAAUAAUACCCCAUAGUUCACCACGCCUGGAACGGUGGGUGGAUGAAAGCUCCGGCGGCAUAGGAUGGGCCUGCGGCGUAUCAGGUUGUAGGGGGUGUAAUGUACCCUCUAGCCAUCUACGCGUACGGGUGUUGGGAGACAUCGCCCGGAGAUGGAUUCUGAGACACGAAUCCAGACCCUACGGGGUGCAGCAGGCGCGAAAACUUGGCAAUGCGAGCAAUCGUGACCAGGGAACUCCAAGUGCAUCGGGUAAGACCGAUGCUUUUCUUGACUCUUCAAAGGUCUUGGAAUAAGGGGUGGGUAAGGACGGUGCCAGCCGCCGCGGUAAUACCGGCGCCUCAAGUGGUAGUCGCUUUUAUUGGGCCUAAAACGUCCGUAGCCGGUUUGGUACAUUCGUGGGUAAAUCAAGGCGCUCAACGUCUUGAAUUCUGCGAGCACGGCCAGACUUGGGACCGGGUGAGGUGUGGGGUACUCUCAGGGUAGGGGUAAAAUCCUGUCAUCCUGAGAGGACCACCUGUUGCGAAGGCGCCACACUAGAACGGAUCCGACGGUCAGGGACGAAGCCUAGGGGCACGAACCGGAUUAGAUACCCGGGUAGUCCUAGGUGUAAACGCUGUGGACUUGAUGUUGGGAGUGCUCCGAGCACCCUCAGUGUCGAAGCGAAGGUGAUAAGUCCACUGCCUGGGGAGUACGGUCGCAAGGCUGAAACUUAAAGGAAUUGGCGGGGGAGCACUGCAACCUGAGGAUUGUGCGGUUUAAUUGGAUUCAACGCCGGA
rnacentral:rRNA from 1 species